GACGAACGCUGGCGGCGUGCCUAAUACAUGCAAGUCGAGCGGAUCUUGUUAAGGAGCUUGCUCCUUAACUUGGUUAGCGGCGGACGGGUGAGUAACACGUAGGCAACCUGCCCACAAGAUCGGGAUAACAUUCGGAAACGGAUGCUAAGACCGAAUAGGCAGCACUUUCGCAUGAGAGAGCUGAGAAACACGGUGUAAGCUGUGGCUUGUGGAUGGGCCUGCGGCGCAUUAGCUAGUUGGUGGGGUAACGGCUCACCAAGGCGACGAUGCGUAGCCGACCUGAGAGGGUGAACGGCCACACUGGGACUGAGACACGGCCCAG
rnacentral:rRNA from 1 species